UACCGGGGCCCCACCCUUGCGAGCCGGCUGCCCGUAGAUCCACUUUCCCAAUUUGACGCCGCUGUCCGCUCAUUCUUGGAGAGAACAGCUUUGGACAGAAACCCCAAAAGGCAGGAGCAAAUUUGUUUGAAAAUCUUGGCUGUGGCGUGCAAACAAGUUCAGAGGGAUUUUUGAGGCACAGCUACAGACUGAGCUGGUUUACUGCACAUUAUAAAUGGAAACUUUUUUUUUCCUCCGUGUUUUUAAGAAAUCCUGUUGCAAGGUCAUUAAUCACAUUAUCCAUUAUACCAGAAACAAAUGGAUUUGUCACUUGUGCACAGAAGCUGAGGUUGAUGCUGAAAACAAAUUGUAUCAAAAUAAAUGAAAUUAUUAUGAUAAUAUAAAACAGACCGCAGUGAUUAAUCUUCAGAAACCAAAUUUUGACCUGCUUUGCACUUCAAACAAUAGCUUCUGUUAUGUAAAUAGUCGUGGGGUUUUCAAGGACAAUGUUACUAAAUUACGAGGAAAGUUCUAUUCGUGGAAAUCUCUUCAUGGAUAAACAUUAGAGCCAGAAAAUCUGUUCUCCACAACACCCAAAGCAGAGGACAAUGGAAGUGAUGAUGGCUCAGGAAUCACUUUGACUCCCUGACUGCUUAGUUGGCUUUCUUUGAGAUUCCCUCCAGAUCUCUGGCCUUCCUGCUCCCGCCCCGGGUUCCUGCAUCCAGAAUGGCACCAGGCUCUUCUGUAAAGCUUUGGAACCACCUUAAUAUUUCACACAGAAAGAAAGAAUUUAAAAACGAAGAAAGCAAGGAAGGAAGGAAGAAAAUCCGCAAGGAUGGGGGAGGAAUUUCAAAACUGAACACAAACAAAAACAAACUGAACCAUAAUUCAAAUGAAUAACGUGACCACACUGAAAUGGAGGAAAAAGAACCAACCCAAUUAACUUUUGAACACAGUAUUUGGACUCAAUACUCUUGGGCUAAAAACAAAAACAAAAACAAAACCCACUAAAUAAAUAUUAGUAGGCUUCAUUUUCUCAGAGGCAUGAGCUAGCAAUUCUGCAAUUACUUUCUGAAUAUUCUAGGAUUGAGCUAAUAAGUACAUUUAUUGUGGAUAAUGGAUAUCAGGUUUAUUACCAUCAGAAAAAGGAGUUACAAAUAUGGAAAGAGAGAAUCAUAGAAUGGACCCUCUAGCAUUAUGUUGAAAUGGGAGGUAUUGGUGUAAACUUGCAGGUUUUAGUCCAGUUAAAUAUAGAAAUGGAUAUAGAUUGUGAGGGCAUGUAUGUGUAUGCAUGCAUGUAUGUACAUACAUAUGAUGAUUCAGAUUUCUGUAAAUCUCAGUUCUGUUUGCUGAGAGAAGCACUAACACCCCACCAACAAUGAACACACCUCAUGCCCAGAUCUUGGUUUCUAAGUACUAUUCUCCACCAAGAAACCAGGGCUCUUUGGAACAAUGUCUGGCCCCAGUCUGGAAAGGAAAAUGUAAGAUAAGCCUGGGCUAUCGUGUGCCAAGAAGGAAAGAAAACAAUAGUAAAGAAAUGCUCCAGGAAUUAUCAAUAUACGUCAAAAGGACACAGUAGCCAGCUUGAAGGUGUUCCUGGUGGCAAAAUAGGGGGCAAGUUGAGCAUCAAAAUAAAUGGUAAUGGCAAAGGAUUAUAACCUAUUGAAUCCAUGAAUCCAUAUUGAUAUAAAUAAAUAAUAGGGGGAAGAAAAGUUCUCCCUUUUUAUAAAUCUAAUAUUUUUUGUUUCUGUACUGAUUUUUUCAGUAGUUUUAUGGAGACAGAAUUAAUAUACUGUACAAUUCACCCAUUUAAAGUAUAUAGUUGAGGGACACCUGGGUGGCUUAGUCGGUUAAGCAGCCAACUCUUGAUUUCAGCUCAGGUCAUGAUCUUGCGGUUUGUGGGAUCGAGCUCCAAGAUGAGCUCUGCACGGAUCUUGCUUGGAUUUCACGGAUUCUCUCUCUUCCUGUCUCUCUGUUCCU